rnacentral:rRNA from 1 species
UACGAAGGGGGCUAGCGUUGCUCGGAAUCACUGGGCGUAAAGCGCACGUAGGCGGGUUGUUAAGUCAGGGGUGAAAUCCUGGAGCUCAACUCCAGAACUGCCUUUGAUACUGGCGAUCUUGAGUCCGGGAGAGGUGAGUGGAACUGCGAGUGUAGAGGUGAAAUUCGUAGAUAUCAGGAGGAACACCGAUGGCGAAGGCAGGUCUCUGGGCUGACACUGACGCUCAUGCACGAAAGCGUGGGGAGCAAACAGG